CCUGGACACAAACAAUGUAUAACCUGUACUGCAAAAAAAUCAUAUCUUUUCACCUAUCCAUUAAAACAAGAUGGUAGGAAUACAGCAGCGAAUGCCAGACAAAAGUCUAACAUUGAUCCUUUACUAGUGGCACUAAUUUGUGGUGGAUUUGCAGCUGUAGCAGGAAUUCUAAUAGGUGUCGUGCUGAUGAAGAAAAAAAUAAAAAAACUGAUGAAAUAUUUUCGGACUGGUUCGUAUGGUUCUGUUUCCAUGACAAUCGUUACAACCAAUCAGUGCCC